rnacentral:lncRNA from 1 species
GACCGACCUAACGAUCUUACUAUGUGUACGGUUGAGAUUUAGCUUCCUCUCUCCUCACUGCCCUAUAAAAAACGGUCAUUCAACAUUCACGUACACAAACUCUCGUCACCUUCUCUUGUAAUUUCCAGAUAAAACAAAAAUGUCUUGCUGCGGAGGGAACUGUGGGGGAUGUGGAUCUUGCUGCGGAGGGAACUGCGGGGGGAAUUGUGGAUCUUGCUGCAAGUGCGGACAGGGCUGCGGAGGGUGAAGAUCUCUAUUUUUAUUUUUAUUUUUUAUUUUUGGCUUUCCAUUUGCUACUUUGUUCGUUAACUUUUAUGGGUAAGUGAAUUUCUACUCUGUAUAAUCAAUUUAAAUUCAUUAUGAUAUGAUUUCAGGUGCAAGACGUACUUCAAUAUGAGCUGUCCGGCGGCAACUGAGAAUAGUUGCAAGUACGUUAAUAAUUACACUUGUAAUCCUUCCACAUGAAGCGUUGGCGCAAAGUCAGGAUCUGAAGCAGAGAUGAAGAAGCUAAGUUAGUAUUAGUUUUGUGUGUUUAAAUAAAUCAUCACUAGUAGGUGGUGAGACUAUAAUAUUUGUAUAAAGUAAUUAAUAGUGUUUGUAAUCUCACCUCUGCUUAAUUAUAUUAAUGAAAAACUCCUUUCUUCUAAUUG